AUUGAACGCUGGCGGCAGGCCUAACACAUGCAAGUCGAACGAGUGGCGGACGGGUGAGUAAUGUCUGGGAAACUGCCUGAUGGAGGGGGAUAACUACUGGAAACGGUAGCUAAUACCGCCUACCAUCUGAUGUGCCCAGAUGGGCUUAGCUUGUUGGUGGGGAAACGGCUCACCAAAGCGACGAUCCCUAGCUGGUCUGAGAGGAUAACCAGCCACCCUGGAACGGAGGCACGGUCCAGACUCCUACGGGAGGCAGCGGUGGGGAGUAUUGAACAAUGGGCACAAGCCUGAUGCAGCCAUGCCGCGUGUAUGAAGAAGGCCUUCGGGUUGUAAAGUACUUUCAGCGGGGAGGCGUUACCAGCAGAAGAAGCACCGGCUAACUCCGUGCCAGCAGCCGCGGUAAUAC
rnacentral:rRNA from 1 species